rnacentral:rRNA from 1 species
GCCUACGGGGGGCAGCAGUGAGGAAUAUUGGUCAAUGGGCGAGAGCCUGAACCAGCCAAGUCGCGUGAGGGAAGACGGUCCUAUGGAUUGUAAACCUCUUUUGCCGGGGAGCAAAAAGCGGUACGUGUACCGCAUCGAGAGUACCCGGAGAAAAAGCAUCGGCUAACUCCGUGCCAGCAGCCGCGGUAAUACGGAGGAUGCGAGCGUUAUCCGGAUUUAUUGGGUUUAAAGGGUGCGCAGGCGGCGAGUUAAGUCAGCGGUAAAAUUUCGGGGCUCAACCCUGACGAGCCGUUGAAACUGGCUUG